rnacentral:rRNA from 1 species
ACGGGGUGCAGCAGGCGCGAAAACUCCGCAAUACACGAAAGUGUGACGGGGGAACCCCGAGUGCACUCACGCAAGUGAGCGCUUUUGUGAAGUGUAAAUAGCUUCACGAAUAAGAGCUGGGUAAGACCGGUGCCAGCCGCCGCGGUAACACCGGCAGCUCGAGUGGUGAUCACUAUUAUUGGGCCUAAAGCGUCCGUAGCCGGUUUGGUAAGUCCUUGGGCAAAUCCUGUCGCUUAACGGCAGGAAUUCUGAGGAUACUGUCAGACUUGAGGCCGAGAGAGGUCGGAGGUACUUCUGGGGUAGCGGUGAAAUGCUAUAAUCCUAGAGGGACCACCGGUGGCGAAGGCGUCCGACUAGAGCGGGCCUGACGGUAUGGGACGAAAGCCAGGGGAGCGAACGGGAUUAGAUACCCCGGUAGUCCUGGCCGUAAACGCUGUGGGCUAGGUGUUGCAUGCUCUACGAGGGCGUGCAGUGCCGAAGAGAAGUUGAUAAGCCUACCGCCUGGGAAGUACUAUCGCAAGAU